UACGUAGGGUGCGAGCGUUAAUCGGAAUUACUGGGCGUAAAGCGUGCGCAGGCGGCUUUUCAAGCCAGAUGUGAAAUCCCCGGGCUUAACCUGGGAAUGGCAUUUGGGACUGCAAGGCUGGAGUUUGGCAGAGGAGACUGGAAUUCCUGGUGUAGCAGUGAAAUGCGUAGAUAUCAGGAGGAACACCGAUGGCGAAGGCAGGUCUCUGGGACGUGACUGACGCUGAGACGCGAAAGCGUGGGGAGCAAACAGG
rnacentral:rRNA from 1 species